rnacentral:rRNA from 1 species
GAUGAACGCUGGUGGCGUGCCUAAUGCAUGCAAGUCGAGCGAACAGACGAGGAGCUUGCUCCUCUGACGUUAGCGGCGGACGGGUGAGUAACACGUGGAUAACCUACCUAUAAGACUGGGAUAACUUCGGGAAACCGGAGCUAAUACCGGAUAAUAUAUUGAGCCGCAUGGUUCAAUAGUGAAAGACGGUUUUGCUGUCACUUAUAGAUGGAUCCGCGCCGCAUUAGCUAGUUGGUAAGGUAACGGCUUACCAAGGCAACGAUGCGUAGCCGACCUGAGAGGGUGAUCGGCCACACUGGAACUGAGACACGGUCCAGACUCCUACGGGAGGCAGCAGUAGGGAAUCUUCCGCAAUGGGCGAAAGCUUGACGGAGCAACGCCGCGUGAGUGAUGAAGGUCUUCGGAUCGUAAAACUCUGUUAUUAGGGAAGAACAAAUGUGUAAGUAACUAUGCACGUCUUGACGGUACCUAAUCAGAAAGCCACGGCUAACUACGUG